ACAGCCGGUCACCAUCCCAAAGAAGAACAACUCAAGUUCUUCAAUUUUCUUCACCUAAACUUGCUCCAAAUCAUCACCAUUUCACUUCAAAUUUCAACCACACUUAGCUCAACACUUGGAGAUUUCAUCUAGCUAAGAAAAGGAGCUGCUGUCCGAGGUUUUUCUUGAGCCAAGGAGAGCCGAAAUUUCUGUCUUGAACAUCAAAGCGAGUGCUUAAGGAGACCUUCAAGAGGAUCUCGAGAGGGAACACCUAAAGGCUCGUUUACGCACUUACUCCCUUAUUUCGAUUGGAGUUUUAAAUUUGAAUGUUGAAGUACUUUCUACAAGAAAAUUUGCAUCAAUGGAUUCAUAACUAGAUCUUCUAGCUGGUAUCCAAGAAUGACUUGGAGUGGAAGGUCUUUCUCUAAAUGAAGAAAAUCAUAGCAAAACUUUUCCAUCAGGUUCUUCUAUUAUAUCUUCUGGAUUUGUUUAUUCUAUACUUCUUGGUGCUUGUGGAUUUUGAAUUAUAAAUUCACUAGAUAUAGUAAUUUCAUUCCAUUUUAAUCUUUUUGGAGUAUAGGUAGUAGGUCUGUCAGCAUCAACUUGUAAUAGUGUUGUUUCUUCUUUUAAAGUUGGUGUCAUAAUAAAUUUAGGAUUUAGCUGUGAGGAUAAUGGUCUGUAAUACAUUCUAUAAAUUACAGCAAAAUUCUUUGUAUGUUUUUCAAAUUCAUCUCCUCCUAAAUGAAUAUCUAAUAUGACUGAAUUCAAAACAUGUGGAUCUGUUAAAUCUACUGAAAAAUUUGGAGCACAAUUAAAAUAAAUGGGUCCAUUGCAUACAUUUGUUUGAAUCAUAGACAAAAGCAAUAUUUUAUAUCUUUUGAGUCUAGUGUCUCUUAAAGCUAAAUAUAUAGGUGCAUCCACUCUGUAGACACCAAAUUUGUGAUUUUUAACUUUAUUUGUUUAAUUAAUUUAAUUUUGCUUUAUUGGUUUCAAUUCUAGAGUUUCUAUUUUUAUUUUAUUUUAUUUUUUUCUUGUUCAUUUUAUUUUAUUAUCUAUUUAUUUUUGCCUUCAUACUAAUUUUCAAAAAAAAAAAAAAGAGGAAAAUGAAAAAUACAAAAAUACAAAACAAUGUGGAAUAGGUGGAAGUGUGCAUGUUGAACAAGUGUACAAAACAAUUAUGAGACAAGUGGUUAAGGAAUUUGAGGGACAAGUGUCCCUUUGUUUAAUUGACAACACAACAUUUAGGGGGACACUUGUUUAGCUUAGAAGGGUUUUGAAAAAAAAAAGAAAAAAGAGGCCACGGGUCGGAGGAGCAAAAAGGGACGAAUGAAAAUUGAAAGGGAGGCGGCGGACCGACGGAAAAACAGGGGAAGGAGCUUCGGCCAAAGCAAAGACAAGAGCUGCGGCUGAGAGGGAAAACAGAGGAAAAAAAACGAGCUAGAGAGAACUGAAAACAGAAAGGAAAAAGCUGUGAGAGGAUUGAGGGAGAAUCGUAAGUGACGGCAAAACAAAAAAAGAAAACCAGGAAGAAAGUGAUAGAGAGAGGCUCUCGGUUGGAAAAAA